rnacentral:rRNA from 1 species
UUGGAUUGUACGUCUAAGCAGUGAGAUUGAGUGUUAGGCAAAUCCGGCACUCUUAAGAUUGAGCUGUGAUGGGGAGAGGAAAUUGUUUCCUCGAGUCGUUGAUUUCACACUGCCGAGAAAAGCCUCUAGAUAGAGAUUAGGUGCCCGUACCGUAAACCGACACAGGUAGUCAAGAUGAGAAUUCUAAGGUGAGCGAGCGAACUCUCGUUAAGGAACUCGGCA